CUCCUCCCGCCCCGCACCCCACGUGAAGCGGAAUAUAAAGGGGGGUGUGUGACUGGAGGGGAAAGUGAAUGGCGAAGGACUGAAGGGGUCCCCCUUCGGUUCCCCAGCCACCUGGUUCACCCGGUUCAUCCUCCCUUCCCGAAGCUAGCCCUCGAAGGCAGGAGCAGCCGGCUUCUUCGGCCAAGGAGGAGGAGGAGGAGGAGGAGGAAUCGCGUCGGGCGGAGCUUCAGGUCCUGUUCUCCUCUCUAGCUUCUCCAUACAAAGAUUACGGUGCAGAAGGAAAUUGCACUCGCCUCCUCCGCCCCCCGGUACCCAGCACAAUGCACCAGCCGCCGGAGUCCACUGCCGCGGCCGCCGCCGCCGCAGACAUUAGUGCUAGGAAGAUGGCGCACCCGGCGAUGUUCCCUCGAAGGGGCAGCAGUGGCGGCAGCGCCUCUGCGCUCAGUGCAGCAGGUACCGUCGUCAGUGGUGCUGCUCCAUCUUCGGAGGAUUUCCCUCCUCCUUCGCUGCUCCAGCCGCCGCCUCCUGCUGCAUCUUCCACGCAGGGACCUCAGCCUCCGCCUCCACAAAGCCUGAACCUCCUCUCGCAGGCUCCGCUGCAGGCACAGCCUCUUGCGCCGGGCGGAACUCAGAUGAAAAAGAAAAGUGGCUUCCAGAUAACUAGCGUUACUCCGGCCCAGAUCUCUGCCAGCAUCAGCUCGAACAACAGCAUAGCAGAGGACACCGAGAGCUACGACGAUCUGGAUGAGUCUCACACGGAAGACCUGUCUUCUUCCGAGAUCCUUGACGUGUCUCUUUCCAGGGCCACUGACUUAGGCGAGCCUGAACGCAGCUCCUCAGAAGAGACUCUGAAUAACUUCCAGGAAGCCGAAACACCUGGGGCAGUCUCUCCUAACCAGCCCCACCUUCCUCAGCCUCAUUUGCCUCACCUCCCACCACAGAACGUUGUGAUCAAUGGGAACGCUCAUCCCCACCACCUCCAUCACCACCAUCACCUUCAUCACGGGCACCACCUUCUCCACGGACACCACCAUUCAUCCCAUGCUGCUGUGGCCACUCCGUCCAUUCCUGGAGGGCCACCCUCGAGCCCAGUGUCCCGAAAACUCUCUACAACUGGAAGUUCUGAUGGCGCUGUGCCAGUUGCUUCUGCUAUAUCAUCGAGCGGCUUACCUGCUUCCGGGAUGCCGAACCUCCGUGCCCCAAGUACUGCAGGCAGCAUAGGUAUAAAUUCUGUGCCUGGCACGAAUGUGACGAAUAAUGUUAGCGUUGCUGCUGCUGCGGGUGGUUUCAGUGCUCACGUGACAAGUGGCGUGCAUGGUAAUGCUAAUAUUAGUACAAGCAAUAUUCCUAAUGCUGCUAGUGUAAGUGUUGGGCCUGGAGUUGGCAGUGGUGUUAAUGUGAAUGCCUUGAGUGGCAUGGGCAAUGGUACUGUCUCUUCCUCUCCUGUUGCUAACAGUGUCCUUAAUGCAGCUGCAGGUAUCACUGUGGGAGUGGUUUCAAGUCCGCAGCAGCAGCAGCAGCAGCAACCAACAGUUAACACGUCAAGGUUCAGAGUUGUGAAGUUAGACUCUACUUCUGAACCCUUCAAAAAAGGUAGAUGGACUUGCACUGAGUUCUAUGAAAAAGAGAACGUCCUGCCGGCCGCAGAAGGCGUGGCCAUAAAUAAAGUGGUGGAGACCGUGAAGCAAGCCCCCACGGAAGUGUCUUCGGAGAGGGAGAGCACUAGUGGGAGUUCGGUGAGCAGUAGUGUCAGCACACUGAGCCACUACACGGAGAGUGUGGGAAGUGGCGAGAUGGGAGCCCCUGCUGUGGUGGUGCAGCAGCCUCAGCUGCCACCACCACCACCGCCAGUUCUUCCAGGUGUGGCCCUCCAGCAGAUGGAUUUCAGUAGCCCCGGGCCGCAGAGUAUUGCAGCAGCUAGUAUACCGCAGAGUAUUUCUCAGCCACAGAUGUCACAAGUCCAAUUACAGCCUCAAGAAUUGAGCUUUCAGCAGAAGCCAGGUCUUCAACCUGUACCUCUGCAAGCCGCUAGGAGUGCAGCCGCCGGUAUCCAGCCUUCGACUGUAAACGUGGUCGGUGUAACGGCAGCUGGAGGUCAGCAGCCCUCCAUUUCCAGCUUGGCUCAACCCCAACUGCCGUACCCUCAGACAGCUCCUCCAGUGCAAACUCCUCUUCCAGGGCCGCCACCCCAACAGUUACCGUAUGGGCAACAGCAACCAAUGGUUUCUACACAGCUAGCUCCAGGCCAUGGCCAGUCGAUGACUCAAAACCCGACGUCAGAAUACGGACAGCAGCAGCCAAUUCUUCAAGCAGCGAUGUCCUCUGGACAGGCCAGUUCCGCAGGAUCGGGAGCAGGACCAUCCAUGAUUCCUGCGGCCCAGCCACAGGGGCUCCAGCUGCCAGUGCAGCCCACAGCAGUACAAGCACAACCUGCAGGGGCAUCUGGGCAGCCCAUUGGCCAGGCUCAAACAGCAGUGCCGACUGUCCCAGCUGGCGGUCAAAUUGCAAAUCUUGGUCCCCAGGCCAACAUGCCCACGGCAGCACAGCAGCCAUCCACCCAAGUUACACCUUCAGUGAUCCAGCAAGGUGCUCCUCCAUCUUCACAAGUAGUCCUACCUGCUCCGACUGGGAUCAUUCAUCAGGGAGUUCAAACUAGUGCUUCAGGCCUUCCUCCACAAUUGGUUAUCGCCCCCCAGAGUACCUUGUUAACUGUGCCUCCCCAGCCGCAGGGAGUAGAAACGGUGGCUCCAGGCGUUGUUUCCCAGCAGUUGCCCGCAGGUAGUCCUUUGCCCUCCGCUAGUAGUAUUUCUGUUCCAAAUCAGGUUAGUUCAGCUGCUCCUUCUGGAAUGCCUUCCGCCCCGACAAACUUAGUUCCCCCACAGAAUAUAGCACAACCCCCGGCUACCCAAAAUGGCAAUUUGGUUCAGAGUGUUAGUCAAUCUCCCUUGAUAGCCACUAACAUAAAUUUGCCUCUGGCACAGCAGAUACCACUAAGUUCUACUCAGUUCUCUACACAAUCAUUAGCUCAGGCAAUCGGAAGCCAAACGGAAGAUGCCAGGCGCCCAGCGGAGCCCUCGGUAGUCGGCUUACCUCAGACUCUCAGUGGUGACAGUGGGGGAAUGUCAGCAGUUUCAGAUGGGAGUAGCAGCAGCCUAGCAGCCUCUGCUUCUCUCUUCCCGUUGAAGGUGCUACCGCUGACAACACCCCUGGUGGAUGGCGAAGACGAGAGCUUUGGUUUGUUUCCAAACUGGCUGCCAGAGCCAGGAGGAAGCGAAGGCAGUAUCACUAACUGUUGGUUACUACCUCCUUAAUGCUGAGACUAUACCCCUUGUUGGUUUGGUAGAGAACAGGAGAGAGCACAGUCCUCGUUCCACAACAGCUCUAUUCCAGUGCUUCUCUCCUCCCAGAGGUGCAAGGAGUGAUCCUAGAGCCACAGAUACAGCCAAGACCACGGAGAGCUUUUGACGUCAGGGGUCCACUUUCUCCACUGAACCCUUGGAGACAGAAUAUCCAGCUUCUGGAGAGAGUGGGAAGGAUAAGAAACAAGUAUCUUGAUAAUGGGAGACCGGUUUAUUUGUUCUCUAAUUGCCCAGAUUUCUUUCAACUGGUAAAACAUCAUACCUCUUCAGCAAAAGGAGUUCUUCUAGCAGAGCCCACAUGGAUGAUAUGUGUCACACAUGCCAGGACCUGCAGUUUGGAAGGCAGUGGUGAAUGGACCCAUGCAAUAUGUCUAGAAGACACAAGGAUGAGCCAGCACCUGAUCUUGUUGCUUACAAACUUCUUAAGAUUCACUCUGGUUUAUUUUUGGUCUGAAAAUGGAAAGGCUCAAAGCGAAGUAAUCUUUCAUAUUAGAGUUUUAUAUGGCCAUAAAAAUAUUUCUUAUUCUAAAGACUGAAAUAGAGGAAGCUUGAGAGUCUUGUCUUUUAGAGCAGCUCUCUGUAUUUGUUUCACUUCAAAGAUUUAUGGGACUGAAAACCGUUUUAAUCAAGUAGGCAACCCCCCACUUUAAAAAGUAGCAGAAAAAAUACAAAAAGUGUGAUAGGCCCUCUCCACCUCCUCCUCUUUGUUACCCAUUGCUAAAGGGGACUAGCAAAUAAAGGUGAACCCAACUCUUCAAGAGUCUGUUAAUGUUAAGAUGUACUCUUAGCUCAUCUCUUGCUGGUCCUGAGCCUUACCUUACUGUAAUCUGUCAGAUUAACAGAGUCUAGAGCUGUCUCAGACCAGUGGAAUCCUGUCUGUGUUCCUCAGUAGUAAAUGCCUGUUAGGUCUGUCCUCCGCACUGACGCACACUACACACGGAUGGUGCAGAGCAGUGGUGUGGGACACAGCUAAUCCACAGAGUUCUGCAGAAGCCUGCAGGUGUGAAUGAGAUCUCCAGUUGACAGGAGCUAUCAAAAUGCUGGUUUCUUUGGUUAUCUAGUAACUCUAGAAACCAGUCAGAGCUAUUAAGGAAAACUCUUAACAGUCUCCUGAUGCUGCCAGUUCCUUUUAAUUUGGAAUAAGCUUUAAGAAAAGAAAUUGUAGAGUUAAUAUAAAAACAACUGAGAUGUUAGGCUCUCAAAGUGUAAUAGCUACAUUCGCUAAAAAUAUAAUCUGUUUUUAGUCUUUCGGCUAUAAGAACAAUUUUUUCUUAGAAAUUAUAAAUCAUUUUUCAAAAGUAUAGUCCUUAAAAGUAAAUGUUAAAGAUAAUUUUGAACAGAAAAUUUUCCCCACAGAGCUCUGAAUUCCCUUGAAUGAUUACAGUUUUGUAUUCCUAACUUAAUAAGAUACUUUAUAAGUACAUAUAAACAAAAACCUGACAUUUUAGUAAGAACUCAGGGAACUAAAAGUGACAUUUGCCUAGAAAUUUAGUUGCAUUCUUUAAACCACUGUAGAAACAAUUUUAUGGCCUGAGGUCAUUAGCCUUUUGUCUCAGCACUGAAGACAGAAAGUGGUUUAAGCCUGGGAUCUCAAGCUUGAGUUAAGUUCUCUCUGUUCUUAAAGUAUGCAAAAGAGAUGUCAGUGCGGUUCCAUUACCUCAUGCACGGCAAGCUAUUGCAAAGUGAAACUUUUUGUAUGUUACUGUGUACUGAUUUGUUGGAACUUUUAAUUUUGAUGCAUUUUCCUUUCAGAUUUUAAAGAACAAUUUCGUGUUACAAUAUGCAACCCUAUAUCAUUUCCGUGUUUAUUUUAUGAAUAUUAAUAUAAGUUAUUUUUUUCUAGAAUGAUUAAUUGUGUAAUAUUUGUAUUAUGUGAUCAUUUGAAAACUAAUAAAUAUUUUCUCCAUGGAAAAAUGCA